UUGUAAGAUAAGCUAAUAAAUAAGCUAUUGGGCUCAUAACUCAAAAAUGAAUACUUAUUCUCUUACAAAC
rnacentral:tRNA from 1 species